GGGGAUGUAGCUCAGUUGGUAGAGUGCUUGUCUCCUAUGCAUAAGGCCCUGGGUUCUAAUCCCCAGCACCA
rnacentral:tRNA from 1 species